GACGAACGCUGGCGGCGCGCCUAACACAUGCAAGUCGAACGAGAGAUGAGGAGCUUGCUCUUCAAAUCGAGUGGCGAACGGGUGAGUAACGCGUGAGGAACCUGCCUCAAAGAGGGGGGACAACAGUUGGAAACGACUGCUAAUACCGCAUAAGCCCACGGCUCGGCAUCGAGCAGAGGGAAAAGGAGCAAUCCGCUUUGAGAUGGCCUCGCGUCCGAUUAGCUAGUUGGUGAGGUAACGGCCCACCAAGGCGACGAUCGGUAGCCGGACUGAGAGGUUGAACGGCCACAUUGGGACUGAGACACGGCCCAGACUCCUACGGGAGGCAGCAGUGGGGAAUAUUGCACAAUGGGGGAAACCCUGAUGCAGCGACGCCGCGUGGAGGAAGAAGGUCUUCGGAUUGUAAACUCCUGUUGUUGAGGAAGAUAAUGACGGUACUCAACAAGGAAGUGACGGCUAAC
rnacentral:rRNA from 1 species